rnacentral:rRNA from 1 species
UACGGAGGGGGCUAGCGUUGUUCGGAAUUACUGGGCGUAAAGCGCGCGUAGGCGGCUCGGUCAGUCGGGUGUGAAAUCCCUGGGCUCAACCUGGGAACUGCAUUCGAUACUGCCGAGCUAGAGUGUGGGAGAGGGUAGUGGAAUUCCCGGUGUAGCGGUGAAAUGCGUAGAUAUCGGGAGGAACAUCAGUGGCGAAGGCGACUGCCUGGCCCAACACUGACGCUGAGGUGCGAAAGCGUGGGUAGCAAACAGG